rnacentral:rRNA from 1 species
AGUGAACGCUGGCGGUAGGCCUAACACAUGCCAGUCGAACGGCAGCACAGUAAGAGCUUGCUCUUACGGGUGGCGAGUGGCGGACGGGUGAGGAAUACAUCGGAAUCUACUUUUUCGUGGGGGAUAACGUAGGGAAACUUACGCUAAUACCGCAUACGACCUACGGGUGAAAGCAGGGGAUCUUCGGACCUUGCGCGAUUGUAUGAGCCGAUUUCGGAUUAGCUAGUUGGCGGGGUAAAGGCCCACCACGGCGACGAUCCGUAGCUGGUCUGAGAGGAUGAUCAGCCAGACUGGAACUGAGACACGGACCAGACUCCGACGGGAGGAAGCAGUGGGGAAUAUUGGACAAUGGGCGCAAGCCUGAUCCAGCCAUACCGCGUGGGUGAAGAAGGCCUUCGGGUUGUAAAGCCCUUUUGUUGGGAAAGAAAAGCAGCAGGUUAAUACCCCGCUGUUCUGACGGUACCCAAAGAAUAAGCACCGGCUAACUUCGUG